AGUUCUCCUAUCUGGUUCGCAGGUAUUGCUGCAUGAAGUAAAUAAUGUCCCAGUUCGUUCAAGGUCGUUUAACUUGGCUGACACGGACCGGCAGAAUGGAGUGAUUUCAGGAGUGAGCACCUGCUCAUUUGCAGGAUGGACACAAGGUGGUCUGGCCAAUGUAACCUCAAGCUAAGAAUCUGCAUUGGAGGAAUGUGUUUGAGAUGUGCAAAACUAGAGCUACUAAACUCAUUCUGGCCUGAGUGACUAUUUCGCGUUUUUAUUAUAUUUUUUGUGCUAAAAUCACCCCCGCUAAGUUCACUAAAUCUCUUGUGAACAGGAUACUGUUAAACUAAAGCAUCUCCAAACUGCUGCCCUGCAGUGUCAAAGUUACUAAUAAAUGCAAUAAUGUUUACACCUUG